GAUGAAGAACGUAGCGAAAUGAGAUAAGUAAUGUGAAUUGCAGAAUUCAGUGAAUCAUCGAAUCUUUGAACGCACAUUGCGCCCCUUGGUAUUCCGAGGGGCAUGCCUGUUCGAGCGUCAUUAUAACCCUCAAGCUCAGCUUGGUGUUGGGGCCUGCUGCACUGGCAGCCCUUAAAAUCAGUGGCGGCGCCAUCUGGCUCUAAGCGUAGUAAUUCUUCUCGCUAUGGAGUCCUGGUGGAUGCUUGCCAUCAACCCCCAAUUUUUCUAUGGUUGACCUCGGAUCAGGUAGGGAUACCCGCUGAACUUAAGCAUAUCAAUAAGCGGAAGA
rnacentral:misc_RNA from 1 species